CAAACUUUUGAUGGGCGACCGGCGCACGGGUGAGUAACACGUAUCCAACCUGCCUCAUACUCGGGGAUAGCCUUUCGAAAGAAAGAUUAAUACCCGAUGUUAUAGUCCUACCGCAUGAUGGGAUUAUUAAAGAAUUUCGGUAUGGGAUGGGGAUGCGUUCCAUUAGUUAGUUGGCGGGGUAACGGCCCACCAAGACAACGAUGGAUAGGGGUUCUGAGAGGAAGGUCCCCCACAUUGGAACUGAGACACGGUCCAAACUCCUACGGAAGGCAGCAG
rnacentral:rRNA from 1 species